rnacentral:rRNA from 1 species
GACGAACGCUGGCGGCGUGCCUAAUACAUGCAAGUCGAACGCUUCUUUCCUCCCGAGUUCUUGCACUCGAUUGGAAAGAGGAGUGGCGGGCGGGUGAGUACCACGUGUGUAACCUACCCAUCAGAGGGGGAUAACACUUUGCAACAGGUGCUAAUACCGCCUAACAGUUUAUGCCGCAUGGCAUAAGAGUUAAAGGCGCUUUCGGGUGUCGCUUAGGGAUGGACCCGCGGCGCAUUAGCUGGUUGGUGAGGUAACGGCUCACCAAGGCGACGAUGCAUAGCCGACCUGAGAGGGUGAUCAGCCACACUGGAACUGAGACACGGUCCAGACUCCUACGGGAGGCAGCAGUAGGGAAUAUUGGGCAAUGGACGAAAGUCUGACCGAGCAACGCCGCGUGAGUGAAGAAGGUUUUCGGAUCGUAAAACUCUGUUGUUAGAGAAGAAAAACGACAGUAGAAACUGAAGGUCCCCUGACGGUAUCUAACCAGAAAGCCACGGCUAACUACGUG